rnacentral:lncRNA from 1 species
CUGCCCCGCCCGCGUGCGCGCGCCGCUCCGCCUCCCGCCUCCAGCCUCUAGUCCGCUGGGUUCGGAGGAGCAGAGGCGGAAGGUCCCGGCGGCGGCGAGGAUGCGCCCCAGGGCGGGAGCGGGACGCUCCACUUUACCCUGGCUGCCCGCAACGGGCCAGGCCUGCCGUCUCUACCUCUCUACCUGUGAGUUUUUUCCCUGCAUUUACUUCAGUCUGCCGCGUCUUCUCCCCGCCCUUCUCUGUAAGGUUGUAUCCACGAGUACCAGCAGAGUGCCUGACACAUAGUAGACAUAAGUUUCUGAUAACUUUGGAAAUGUGACAUUGGAAUAAAGGAAAAAUGCACAGGACUCAUGAAGAGCCAAAAUGUUCACUGAUACCAAGCAACACAAGAGUUAACUAAAUGGACUGAACUCAUAGAAAACUGAAUCAAUCUUUUUGACUUUUGCAUGGAAUAUUGCUGAUCCUUGUUUUGUUUUUCAGAGUCCAGGAAAUUUAUUUUGAACUAUUUACAGCCUUUAAUAAUUGAGAAAAUUAUACUCCUCUGAACAAAAUCCGGAGCAUGUUUGUCUCUCUUUCUGCUUGGCUUUUCCAGAAUAUGGAAACUAGUUAUGAGUAUUAUUUUUUUUUU